GGAUUGUGGUGCUCAGAGACCAAAUGCUCAUGGUUUUUCCUCUGUCCCCAUUAUAACAGGCCAGUGUGACUUUUGGGGACGUUGCUGUGCACUUCUCCUGGGAGGAGUGGAGGCUGCUUGAUGAGGCUCAGAGACGCCUGUACCUUCGUGUAAUGCUGGAGAACUUUGCACUUAUAUCCUCUCUGGGUUGCUGCUGUGGAGCAGACAAUGUGGAAGCCCACCUUGAACAGAGCAUUUAUGUUGGAGUGUCACAGGCAAAGAAUCUCAAGGCAGCUUCAUCUUCACAGAAGAGACACCCAUCUCUGCCUUUCGGACCCACUGGGACAGUGAUCCAGUUUCUGCAGCCGCCGUGGACAAGACUCCUGCCCCCAGAAAUUGGUCUGGUGUAAAUUUCACACCCAGAGCUUAGUACAGAGGCUCUGGUUGUUUCUAUCCACAAGACAUUGAGGUGAGUUGUUGCUGGUGUGGUCCACUGUUGUGGUAAAAAAAGGAAAUGGAUUUUCUAUCAGUUUUAAAAUAGGGCAGCCCACAUUUUCUGACAGUGAUGGUGAGAAAAAGGUAAGAGGGAUGACACCAAGAUUCCCUGUGUUAGCAUCUAAAAGAAAGGAGGCUCUGUCAGUGAAAUGGGUGGUCAAUAGUGGGAGUACUUUUUUUUUUUUUUAAUAUAUCUUUAUUGAUUUCAGAGAGAGGAAGGAACAGGGAGAGAUAGAAAC